rnacentral:rRNA from 1 species
AGAGCGAACGCUGGCGGCAGGCUUAACACAUGCAAGUCGAGCGGAUGUAGCAAUACAUCAGCGGCAGACGGGAGAGGAACACGUGGGAACGCGCCCUUUGGUUCGGAAUAACUCAGGGAAACUUGAGCUAAUACCGGAUAAGCCCUUACGGGGAAAGAUUUAUCGCCAAAGGAACGGCCCGCGUCCGAUUAGCUAGUUGGUGAGGUAAUGGCUCACCAAGGCGACGAUCGGUAGCUGGUCUGAGAGGAUGACCAGCCUCACUGGGACUGAGACACGGCCCAGACUCCUACGGGAGGCAGCAGUGGGAAUAUUGGACAAUGGGCGCAAGCCUGAUCCAGCCAUGCCGCGUGAGUGAUGAAGGCCUUAGGGUUGUAAAGCUCUUUAGCAGGGAAGAUAAUGACGGUACCUGCAGAAAAGCCCGGCUAACUUCGUGCCAGCAGCCGC